GUGCUCUCUUCGGCAGCACAUAUGCUAAAAUUGGAAUGAUAGAGAAGAUUAGCAUGGCCCCUGCACAAGGAUGACAAGAAAAAUAAAUAAAUAAAUAAAUAAAGU